AUUGAACGCUGGCGGCAUGCUUUACACAUGCAUGUCGAACGGUAACAGGCCGCAAGGUGCUGACGAGUGGCGAGCGGGUGAGUAAUGCAUCGGAACGUGCCCAGUCGUGGGGGAUAACGCAGCGAACGCUGCGCUAAUACCGCAUACGAUCUCUGGAUGAAAGCGGGGGACCGAAAGGCCUCGCGCGAUUGGAGCGGCCGAUGUCAGAUUAGGUAGUUGGUGGGGUAAAGGCCCACCAAGCCAACGAUCUGUAGCUGGUCUGAGAGGACGACCAGCCACACUGGGACUGAGACACGGCCCAGACUCCUACGGGAGGCAGCAGUGGGGAAUUUUGGACAAUGGGCGCAAGCCUGAUCCAGCAAUGCCGCGUGCAGGAAGAAGGCCUUCGGGUUGUAAACUGCUUUUGUACGGAACGAAACGGUUCGGGUUAAUACCCUGGGCUAAUGACGGUACCGUAAGAAUAAGCACCGGCUAACUACGUGCCAGCAGCCGCCGUAAAAC
rnacentral:rRNA from 1 species